AAUGAGAAACGUGAUUGGCUAUUGAGUAUGUGACGUCAACUGAAAAUGAGAAACGUGAUUGGCUAUUGAGUCCACCUGGUCAUUGAGGCGCAACGGAACGUUAUUUUGCCCCUAGAAUUAGCCGAGUAGAGGUGUACAAGAGUCUUGAAGGAGCGAUGAUUGGAAUCAUACGCUGCCGAGCACAAAGUGGUGGCAGAUGUUCCCGUUGUACGAGAUGUGCUAGUUGAGUUACCAAGAUCAGCGUGUGGAGAGGUGCGGCAUGGGCGAAACCGAGCAAUGGUGAAAUAUGUAUUUGUGGUGAAAGCAGGAUUGUUGGAGGCGAACGAACGACACUGCAGAGUAAUGGAAGAGGCUGUGACGUUAAGUUUUUCAGGUGACACGUUUGAGGACCCUGGACGUGGAUGAGGUUGAUAGCAUCGUGUGUAGUUACUGUAGGGACACAACCUCCAGCUGUUGAAGGAUCAAGUUUCUCUUCCAUUCAAGAAGCGACUACGGAAGGAGCACCAUUGAUGAACAAGGAAAGUUGAUGGAGGCCGAGGGGAGACUACUGCGCCCAUGAGGUCGACACAUUCCUAGUUACAGGGUCGAGGCGGCGAGUUCGCCGUUGGUGGUUCCUGGCCGCUGUCCCUCGCGGGAUUGUGGGUGCUCCGGCGGAACCCCGAAAGUGAUAAGCCUGCAGAUCGGAAAUAUGCGCAUGAAUUGUAAUUAGUGUAAUGAAAAUAGUGCAAAUUUCAUUUAGUACGUAUAGAUGUAGUUAUAAUUAUAAAGUAGAAAUGAAAUACAAAUUGUAACGAAUAAUGCUUAUAAUGAAUGGUUAAUAUUUUGUUAUGCACUAGUCAAUAAUUGUGAUCGUAAUGAGGAAAUAUUGUUAAUGAAUGAAAUAGGUAAUUAAUAUAUAAUAAAAGGAAAAAUAUAUAAUUAUAUUAUUUAGCAAUAGAAAAGUAAAUAAGUGGGGAAUAUGAGCACGUUUUGUCGGAAGCUGAGAAAAGUUUCUAUUAGUGUUAUUGUUCAACGUUGUGUAGUGACAAAUGUUGACAGAAAGGUUAAAGUAAAACGGUAUAGGGAAAUA